AAAUUAAAUAAAUUAAAUAAAAUGUUAAGAAAUGUAAAAAGUAUUUUUUGAUAUUUUUAUGAACAAAUAAAAUAUUUUUAUUAAUUAAAAACAAAACAGAAAAAUAAAAUAAGAAAUAAAAAGAAAGAAUGAAAAAUAAAUGGUAUUGGAAUAAUGGGCCAGACGAGUGGUGGGGUGCGAACAGCAGGGUGGAAAGCCCAGUCCAGUGAAAUAUUCCAACGUGACACCAUAAUAAAAUGUUUCAUUAAAUAAACCAUGUCACAUGAAC
rnacentral:lncRNA from 1 species